GACGAACGCUGGCGGCGUGCCUAAUACAUGCAAGUAGGACGCAGUUGCGAACGGGUGAGUAACGCGUAGGUAACUACCUAUUAGAGGGGGAUAACUAUUGGCAACGAUAGCUAAUACCGCAUACUAGUAGAUGGACCUGCGUUGUAUUAGCUAGUCGGGAGGGUAAUGGCCUACCUAGGCAACGAUACAUAGCCGACCUGGGAGGGUGGUCGGCCAAAAUGGGACUUGGAAAAGGCCCAGAAUCCUACGGGAGGGAGCAGGAGGGGAUCUGCGGAAAAGGGGGGAAACCUGACCGAGGAAAGGCGGGGGAGUGAAGAAAGGUUUCGGGUCGGAAAGCUAUGUUGUUAAGGAAGCGGUACUUAAACAGAAAGGGACGGCUAACUACGUGCCAGCAGCCGCGGUAAUAC
rnacentral:rRNA from 1 species